UACAGAGGGUGCGAGCGUUGUUCGGAAUUAUUGGGCGUAAAGGGCGCGUAGGCGGCUUGGCAAGUGGAUGGUGAAAUCCCUCGGCUUAACCGAGGAACUGCCGUCCAAACUGCUUUGCUUGAGACCGGGAGAGGUGAGUGGAAUUCCCAGUGUAGCGGUGAAAUGCGUAGAUAUUGGGAGGAACACCAGUGGCGAAGGCGGCUCACUGGACCGGUACUGACGCUGAGGCGCGAAAGCGUGGGGAGCAAACGGG
rnacentral:rRNA from 1 species